UCUCCCUCCUCUUCCAAAUUCAUUAAAAGCAGCACCGUGAAGGCAGUCCCGCAGAUAGGACUGGAAGUGGGUUGGACCGUCAGGAGACCCAUCGGGCCGGCCCUCGGACUCGACCCCAAACCAUUUAGGCCAGGCUCUAGCCAAAAAAAUAGGAUCCAUUUGGCCAUUGGGUUGGGCUCGGGCAGAUAUUUGGCCCGACCUAGAGCCGAUACGAUUGG
rnacentral:lncRNA from 1 species